UUUAAACUGCUUUUAGUUAAGGACGAUUCAGACGAUACAUCCGCUUCCGUCAACGUAAACGGAGCAUCACCGUUCCGUCAGGAUAAGUUUAAUACUUUUCUCUUGUGCCCGUUCAAACGUGCCGUACGUCAAAGCGUUCCGUGCCGUUGAUGUGUGUGAAUGCUUCCAUUUUAUUGCAUGUAACUAAUCUUGACGUUCCGUGCCGGUGAAGGAAGCCUGAUGUAUCGUGUGAAUCGUACUUUAUUUGUAAUACUAUCUACAAACCAGCCAGAAUUCCAACUUAUUUUCCGGCUGCAUUUGCUGGGAUCAAAAUCGACAAUCAACAGCAUCUCAUGGAACAUGUAAUACUUAAUAUUUUAAGGCACGGUGCAGGGCAUUUGUGUCUCCUGUUGAGAAAAUUGGAAAUGGAUACAACCAGCUCGAUCUAUUGCAAGUAAGUUUAAUUUGAGUAUGAACGUCUUUCGGAUGGCUAUACAUUUCGCACAGGUUUUUUAGUUCCAGAAACCUGUUCUACGUGAAGGAAUUUUACUACCAAUAAUGAUUCCUACUUCAUCAUCACGAAGUUAAAGUUUUUUUAGAAUCAUCAAUAUGAUGCUCAACAUUUUUCUUGCUAAAGGAAAUCACUGAAUGAAAAGCAUUUUCAUGCUGAUGGAUCUUCCGGGAGAAUUUUUUUCAAUGACAUCGCUAAUAACCAUAUCAAAGAUAUGGUCAACGAAGCCCAAGCAGAUAAUUGUCACUAGUUUUGAACGGUCAUUUGAAGCUUCCGGACAAUGCAAAUGCGGGCGAAAAUCCAACCCGAAUAAUUCAGAACGCGAAUUGGCGAUGGCAGCAUUUUAUGCAAUUUAACACAUGCAGUGUACAUCGACUUCAAGCCGAUAAUGAAGGCAUACAAAUGUAAUGAUUACAGUUGAUACGAUGUAUCGUGCAUGGCACGGUUUCAGGUUGUAUUAUAGCUGAACCAACUCUCAUAUCGGAGAAGUCCACAAAGCUCACCUAUUCACAUAACGAGGUAAUC